rnacentral:rRNA from 1 species
AGUGAACGCUGGCGGUAGGCCUAACACAUGCAAGUCGAACGGCAGCACAGUAAGAGCUUGCUCUUACGGGUGGCGAGUGGCGGACGGGUGAGGAAUACAUCGGAAUCUACUUUUUCGUGGGGGGUAACGUAGGGAAACUUACGCUAAUACCGCAUACGACCUACGGGUGAAAGCAGGGGAUCUUCGGACCUUGCGCGAUUGAAUGAGCCGAUGUCGGAUUAGCUAGUUGGCGGGGUAAAGGCCCACCAAGGCGACGAUCCGUAGCUGGUCUGAGAGGAUGAUCAGCCACACUGGAACUGAGACACGGUCCAGACUCCUACGGGAGGCAGCAGUGGGGAAUAUUGGACAAUGGGCGCAAGCCUGAUCCAGCCAUACCGCGUGGGUGAAGAAGGCCUUCGGGUUGUAAAGCCCUUUUGUUGGGAAAGAAAAGCAGCAGGUUAAUAUCCCGCUGUUCUGACGGUACCCAAAGAAUAAGCACCGGCUAACUUCGUG